GUCACUUCUCAGCCUUUUGGCUAAGAUCAAGUGCAGUAGGUAUUUAAGUAAAGUGAUUUUAAACUAGUUUUUGAGAAAGUAGUUUCAUGUGUUUGUGUAAGUACACCACAUUGAACAGGUACUUUCACUAACAUUUUACCAACUCUGA
rnacentral:snRNA from 1 species